rnacentral:rRNA from 1 species
UACGGAGGGUGCAAGCGUUAAUCGGAAUUACUGGGCGUAAAGCGCACGCAGGCGGUCUGUCAAGUCGGAUGUGAAAUCCCCGGGCUCAACCUGGGAACUGCAUUCGAAACUGGGAGACUUGAGUGCAGAAGAGGAGAGUGGAACUCCAUGUGUAGCGGUGAAAUGCGUAGAGAUCUGGAGGAAUACCGGUGGCGAAGGCGGCCCCCUGGACAAAGACUGACGCUCAGGUGCGAAAGCGUGGGGAGCAAACAGG